rnacentral:rRNA from 1 species
UACAGAGGGUGCGAGCGUUAAUCGGAAUAACUGGGCGUAAAGGGCACGCAGGCGGGCUUUGAAGUUAGGUGUGAAAUCCCCGGGCUUAACCUGGGAAUAGCAUUGAAGACUGGGAGUCUAGAGGACUUUAGGGAGGGGUAGAAUUCCACGUGUAGCGGUGAAAUGCGUAGAGAUGUGGAGGAAUACCGAAGGCGAAGGCAGCCCCUUGGGAAUGUCCUGACGCUCAUGUGCGAAAGCGUGGGGAGCAAACAGG